rnacentral:rRNA from 1 species
GCCCGCUCAGAACUUAAAGGAAUUGACGGGGCCCGCACAAGCGGAGGAGCAUGUGGUUUAAUUCGAUGAUACGCGAGGAACCUUACCUGGGCUCGAACGUAAGAUGACUGUAGGUGAAAGCUUACAUCUCUUCGGAGCAUUUUACGAGGUGCUGCAUGGUUGUCGUCAGCUCGUGCCGUGAGGUGUCGGGUUAAGUCCCAUAACGAGCGCAACCCCUACCUUUAGUUGCCAUCAGGUUAAGCUGGGGACUCUAAAGGAACUGCCUACGCAAGUAGUGAGGAAGGCGGGGAUGACGUCAAAUCAGCACGGCCCUUACGUCCAGGGCUACACACGUGCUACAAUGGCCGAUACAGAGGGCAGCUACCUGGUGACAGGAUGCAAAUCUCCAAAGUCGGUCUCAGUUCGGAUCGGAGUCUGCAACCCGACUCCGUGAAGUUGGAUUCGCUAGUAAUCGCGCAUCAGCCAUGGCGCGGUGAAUACGUUCCCGGGCCUU